UGCCCCCUGUCCCUCAGGGCCACCCAAGGGUGUCUGGACCGGCCCAGGAGCACGGCCACCUGCCUCUCAGGGUCAUGUGUCUCAGGUGUCGGGAGGGGGGCUGGGGGCUGGGCCCCUGUGCCUCCACCUACAAGGUCCCUUCCCUUUCCUGGGCUGUCCUUGAGGUCUGACCCCAAUGCUGACCCCCUCAUUUGGCGUAUGGAGGUCCUGAAGGCUUUCCCUUUCCGAGUCCCGGGUUCAAGUGCAGAUAGGCCCUAGCGUUUCUUUUCUCAACUGUGUCUUAUGGCGUAGGAUCAACCACGAAGAAGGGCUCCAGAGGUUCUGGCUCGGCGCGGUAGAGACGGUUAACCGUCCCUCCGGACACAGGAAGAGUUCCCGGUCUCCUCUGGAUUAGGUGAGGUCGGGGAGGGUGGGACGGGGGUAGUAAGUGGAAGGGGUCCUGCCCUCUUUCCAUUGCCCUGUGGCUGGUGGUAGGCCACUCGCCCCGGAGGACAAAGUGACCGCUAGGACGCGCAGCGAGGCGGCACGCGGGAGGCGCCUGGGCCCCGGGCAGCCUUGGGGAGCAGAUCCGCCAGACCUCAGUCUCCACCAGCCCCGACUCCUCCUUGGGAGACGAGUGCAUCUUCGCCGGAACCUUCCUCCGUUCUUGAGAACCCUGCCUGAAUCAGCAUCGGCUCACGUCCUAGGCACCUGCCCACACCUCGCACGGGCUCAGAGGAAGGGCCUGAACGUGCGUGUGCGUGCGCGUGCGCGUGUCGGUGCGCGUGCGCUCCGACUGGGCCUUCCCAAGCCAAAGGGGCGGACCCGUUCAACGCGGCCAGAGGACGGAUCCGUGGAGUGCGCACAGAACAAGUCAGACCUUUCUGAAACAUGUGUUGCCUUGCUGGACCCCUGCUACUUCCCUGCACUUGGCAGGUCUACACCCGCCUCCAAGGAUGGGGAUCUGAUUCCUGGGUUCUUAUCCCGACUCCCCUGUGAGCAGCUGAGGAGACCACAUCUACCCAAUGGCUCGCCUAGCACGAGCGAUGUGGCCCGUCGUGCCCAGCCCUGGGCUGACCCGGCGCCCAGCCAGCCACGCAGAAACUCAGCAGGGUGUCCUGGGGGGGGGGUGGGGACGAACAUGCCGCCGCUCCUGGUCGUUUCCAAAAGUCGAGGACUCGUUUACGCCUGGACAUCGUCUGUGCGUCUCCGGGCGAGAGGGUUUUUGGUCUGGAGAAAGACAGAAUCUGCAUUUGAGUGUCGAGAAAGCACCAUUUAAGUGACACUCCGUGAUGCCUUGUCCCGUGAGUGAAAUGCACUCAUGCUUCGCCGGUGGCUGGUUUCUGCCCCCCUUCGUCGCUUUCAAAUUGUUAAAAGCAUUAGAAUGACUGGUAGCUCGGAGGCUUCAAACCCGUUCCCCCCAGGGCCCGGGAGAGUCCUUGCAGCCUAAGAAACGGGAUGGGGACAAAUUAAAUGAUAAUUGUGCACCUGCUCUGGUCUGUAAUUCCGGCUCCUGUCAUGAAAAAACCAUGGAUAGCUUGGCCUUUCUUCUGUGUCGAAAGCUUUCAUCGCAGUUGUUCAGGUUACAAAUAAAAAGCCACAGGCCCCCCA